CUAUAUAGUCCAGUCCGGCCAUGAUGCUCAUACACCAGGUAUUGGGAAUUGAGUUGUAAGAGCUUCAACUUUUGUCUGGAGAUCUGACACUCUAUCCUUCAAAGAGAAAUCAGGGGAUGCAACAAAUUUCAAGAAAUCUUGAAGCUUUGAUCCUGACACUGAUUUCUUAGCUUCAAAUGUUAUUUGCACACCCUCAUGAAUAUAAUCAGCAGUCGCUACAAAUUCUUUCUCUGUGAAUCCUCUGGUAGUCAUAGCAGGUGAUCC
rnacentral:misc_RNA from 1 species